rnacentral:rRNA from 1 species
AGCGAACGCUGGCGGCAGGCCUAACACAUGCAAGUCGAACGAAGUCUUCGGACUUAGUGGCGGACGGGUGAGUAACACGUGGGAACGUGCCUUUAGGUUCGGAAUAACUCAGGGAAACUUGUGCUAAUACCGAAUGUGCCCUUCGGGGGAAAGAUUUAUCGCCUUUAGAGCGGCCCGCGUCGGAUUAGCUAGUUGGUGAGGGAAAGGCUCACCAAGGCUACGAUCAGUAGCUGGGCUGAGAGGAUGACCAGCCACAUUGGGACUGAGACACGGCCUAAACUCCUACGGGAGGCAGCAGUGGGGAAUCUUGCGCAAUGGGCGAAAGCCUGACGCAGCCAUGCCGCGUGGAUGAUGAAGGUCUUAGGAUUGUAAAAUCCUUUCACCGGUGAAGAUAAUGACUGUAGCCGGAGAAGAAGCCCCGGCUAACUUCGUGCCAGCAGCCGCAGUAAAAC